rnacentral:lncRNA from 1 species
UCCAAUUAUUCAAAAAGUAAAGAUAAAACAAAAUAAAAUAAAAUAAAAGAUGUGACUGAGUCCUUGUUUUGGACCGCCUACAUAUACCGGGUUAUAAGGGAAUUAGGUCACUUAUAGUUCAAAUGUUAAAUGGUGAGAGAACGAGUUAGAGAUCGAGUGAGGUUUCAUCAAGUUUUUGGUUGACGACUUCUCCUUUUACAUUUAUAUGAAUAACAAAAAUAAAAUUGAAGAUACAAAUGAAAGAUUCUAUCUAUUCAGCUAUUCUGGAAUCUUGACUUGAAUCUUCAUGACUUAUCAAAUUGUGAGAUAGUCGUUAUUCUUAAUUGAACUUGGACCAUAAAAAGCCCCUCGUCGUUGGCUCUUGAUAUUAGAGGGGAACUUGACAAUUGGUUUAUUCUUUAGAUUUUCUUCUGGCUUGGACUUAAAAAUCUUCACCCUAUUCUUCAGGUAGGCUCCUGAACUUGCAACUGAUAAUGUUCACCCUAUUCUUCAGGCGGGCUCCUGGACUUCCUUUUUUUUUCACUCAGUUCUUCAGGUGGGCUCCUGACUUGUUGCUUCUUCACCCUGUUCUUCAGGCGGGCUCCUGACUUGUUACAUCUUCACCCUGUUCUUCAGGUGGGCUCCUGAACUUAUAAUUUUUUAUUUUCAAAUAUGUUCCUGAACUCAAAAUAAAAGGUGAAACAGAAAAAUAACAUCCCAUUUUUCAGGAGGAUCCUGGACAUAAAAUAAAUUCCCAUUCUUCAGGAGGGUCCUGUGCAAAAAUAAAUUUCCAUUCUUCAGAAGGGUCUUGUCCCAUUCUUCAGG